CAAAAAUGUGCUUGGAUAUUUUCUAUUUUACUUGUGGUUAACUUGAUUCCUUAAAUUUUGUUUAUAAUGAACCAUUUAACAUUGUUAUUUUCUUUUAAAUGGUAAACUGUUUUUUAAGUUACUUUUGCAUUAUUUUUAUUCACCCAAUCAUUCUAAUUGCUAUUUUCAAAAUUAUUGUAGUAAAAAAGGUUUAACAAUAUAUUAAAAAAAUAUCCUUUAUAUUCUUACUACUACACAAAUGCUAAUGAAUGCUUUACAAUUUGGUAUCUAUCCAGAUAGAGUUAGUGUUACAACCUCAGUAUGUGUAUGGAUUGAUUGCCGUAAGUUCAGUCCUUUUGAGUAGAGCUUGUUUAUGCUCCUGUGUCCUCUCAUCACUCAAUUCUCCUUUGCUGAAUUCUACUCAUCUCUGUUUGAAAUACUCUGGAAACAUCAUUUUCACAUUUGUCAUCUCAUUUGUAAAAUACCCCUUAACACAUCAAGGUCACCUCUGCUUUUUACCCACUAACCUGAGGUAAUUAAGAUAACAUGUUAUUCUGUUGCAUUUGUUGAUUCAUAAUGGCAAAUAAAAGUCUAAAAUUAUUAAAUUAGAAGCAGAAUUCCUUCUCAGUGAAAACGUCUUCCAGUUAUAUAUUAUCACUACAAAAGAGAAGUGUUGCUUUUAUAUAUGGGAAUAUAUUUUUACAGGCAUGCAAGGUCAGAAGUAGAGUGUUUAUUGUCAUUUUCACAUUGCAGCAAAGUCUUACUAUUGAAAGACUUUUUGGGGCUCACAUUCCAAUCAUGUAAAUUUGUAUUUGGUCACAUUGAUAGCUUUGUCCCUUUGUCCUUCAUUGCUAAGCAACCAAAGAAAGGGAUCAGGUAAUCUUAAGAAUAUGGUAUAAACCUGCUUGACUUUAUUUUAAUAUGUUAGGAAUUGCAUGUGUGAACAAAAUAAUUAUGAUUAUGGCUUGAGUAGCCCAUCUUGUGCCAGAAAAUUUACAUACAUUGUUUUAUUUAACCCUUAUUUUACUUAUGAUGAUCAAAUCCCAGAUCAACAUCUUACUAGGUAUUUUAUGUUCAAAGUAUUUAACAAGGCUUAGAAUAUGGAGGAUGCUAGACUGUGCCAAUUAUGUUCCCUUUCAGGACUAAGGCACUUCUCCAAUAUUCACUGAAGCACAUUUGGGCAGUUCUUAAGAGCCAUCCUACCUCCAGAGCUCCCCAAUGUAUCCAAUGGGACCUUUAUUUUAACUGCAAUAGAGUUCCACUUCUUUCUUAAACCAGUGCUUCUUAACUGAGGGUGAUUAUGCCCCACCCCUUGACCAGUGAGUAUAUCUGAAGUCUGUUAUAGAUUAGGGAGAGGUUUGCUAUUCACAUCUAGUGGGUAAAGGCCAGGCAUAUGGCUAAACUUUUUACAAUGCACAAGACAUUCCUCCACAUAAAGGAUUAUUUUGUCCAAAUAUCAAUAGUGCCGCAGCUAAGAAAUCCUGGCUGAAAUCCACAGAUCUUAUUCCUACUAACCUUUUUUGAUAAACCUCUUGCACUCAAUUCUCAGGGUUUCAGAAUCUUAGAAUCUUCAAUUUGUAAGCCAACUUAUAGUGGAAACUGUGAAGCAAUUCAGGUGCCCUAGGUAGUAUUUGUGUUUAUGCUACCGCUGAUAUCCUGUGUUCUAAGCAUAUCUGGCUGGUAAGGAAGAGGAUUACUAUUGCAGUCCAUACUGGUACUUCCUAGAUGCUAAUCAAAUUAAACCAGAAAAAUAAUCAGUCAAAAAUAAUGAUACACAACAGGGCCUUGAGUAUAUUACUUGUAUGACUUUGAAACCUUAAGGGAACAAAUUCUGCUAAAGAUUAGCGGUGAAGAAAGAGUUUUAAAUACUUCUUCUCUCUUAAAUAUAGCAAAAUAACAUAAAGAAGGACAAGUGGAAGAAAAGACUCUUUGUUGUUAAUGAAACCAGCAAAAAAAUAACUCUUUAGUCCAAAUGGCUAAAGGAUAUGUGCCAGAACCAAAGGAAGGAGGACACAGAUUGCAGAUUAUGUGUUUUUUCAGAUCCCUGAGCAUAUACACAGAGAAAACAGGUUGUUAUUUGGGUCUGAAGAGCCUAACUGCAAAUCCCCUGCUUGGAAUGGCAAAGUCUGAGGCUGUGCAUGGGCUAUAUGAGAGGCCUUGGGCCAAUUUCCCUACUGCAGAGUAGCACAAAUGAUAGGACAGAGAAACUAUGCAACUUGACUUUAGAAGAAGCAGGAUGCCAAUGGGUUAACAAAGAGGAAAGAUAGCGGUAGCAAUCAACCAGACAACAGUUGGUUGAAAAGAAAUAAAUAAGCUAAAUCACUACAACUACCCCCUUCUUCCAAAGAAAUAAAAACAAAAUUCUAUAUCAUGUAAUUCUCCACAGUAAGCCAAGAAAACUUCAUUUUCACCUUGAGGUAGAAAGUGUGUAUAUGUUUAUGCCACAUUUAUUGCUGAGGACAAUGUCUUCAUUUGUGCAGACACAAUGGUGAGAUGCCCCAGGGCAGAGUAUACAGCAGAGUUGAGGAGACUGCUCUGAGGCAAUACAACUUUCAGUCCUGUCUCACUUUAACUUUUCUUCCUAACACUGUUUUUCAGGCAUUGACUAAGGAAGAAUGGAUCCCAUUAAAAAAUAAGUAAUUAUCAGAAAUUACCUAGGAUAUGAAAGCAACAUUGUAAAUAGGGCAAAGAGCCAAAUGUUUUUCUUUGUAAAGUUUUUCCCCUUUCUAGGGGAAGGGAAACCUUUCCCAAGAACUCAUGUCUACUCUUAUCAGCCAGAGAAGUGUCACAUGUCUACCUCUACAUGAAAGGGAAGCUGAGUAGUUAAAUAUUGUACUUCAACCCCCAUUCUAAUGGAAGGCAAGGGAGAAGCGAGUUAGAACAGGUAUACAUCUGCUGCACAGAUCGAAACAAGACAUGGCUGGAUUCAAGUUCCAGCUCUGCCGUUUACUAACUGCGGACAAGUUACUUAACCUCUCUGUGUCUCACUUUCUCUAUCUUUAAAAUAAGGAUGAUGAUAUUAACAAAUGUGCUUCAGAGGGUGGUUGUAAAGAUUAAAUGAAUUGUUCCAUAGACAGCACUUAAAACAGUACUGGCAUAUAUUGGUAGGUGUUAGUUAUUGUUAUCUACACUCUGAGGAACUUUUUGGCACUAAAAUAUUAUAAUUCCAUAAAUGAUUGUUUGAUGAUAAAAGAUAGGAUUUAUAAGAAUUACAAAUGAUUUACCCUUGCAGUUAGAUCAUCUGCUUAAAAAGUAUUAAAAUGCUCACUUCUCAUGGAGGUGAUCCAAUGCCAGUAAAUACUUUCAUUGGCUUAAAAGUGUUUUUGUUAGAAAAGAAAUAUGACUUGUGUAGUUGGAUGAACUCUUCAGCAAGGAGACCAGUGAACAUUGAAUGAUUAUAAGGCCUUAACUUUAAAAAACAUCUGGAAAAAAUCUCUUAAGGGAGUUGUUCGACAUUUUCCUUCAAGUUUGUAAACUAUAUUUAAGUUUUCCUAAGUAAGCAGCAAUGUGUCCUGAGGGGAAUUGUCACAGCUUCCUUCUCCACUAGUCAGAGUUAACUCACCAUGAACUGCAAAUUUAUGAAAACUCUCUGUCCCAUUACUUAAAACAAAGGUUUAUCCUAAAGAAAGAAGUCAGCUAAUAAAGGCAAGUUCAUUGUGGCUGAGAACUUACUGAUGACAGAAAUGAAAGCUCAUAUCUAGGUUAAAAACUUAUCUUUCAAAGUGCCUAUAGUUCACUGAGAAGAGAAGGUAAUUCACAAAUAACAAAAAUACAGCAGUUGAAGUCUGAAGAGAAAAUAACAGGAUAUUGGUAGCCAUGUUUUGAGAAAGAGAGCUAUAUGCUAUGGGAUGAUCAAAGAAGAUCCUAAGGAGAUGUCAUUUGAACUUGUCCUUAAUGGAUAAGCUGGGUUUGGAUAGAUAGCAUUGGGAGGAAGGGUAUUUAUGUCAGAGGGAAAGAUGGGUCAGACAUAGGGGAAGGAAAUUGUAGGAUAGAUAUUGCACAAAACAUUGGGAACAUAUAGGAUAGAUGUUGCACAAAACAUUGGGAAUAUGAGAAGACCACGAACAGUCCUUCUCUUAGUGAGCUUACCUUUCAAUAGGAAAGAUAGAAAAUAAGUAAGAGGACAACUAAAUACAAAAACAGAAUGAGGGUUGUGAAGCAGAUAAAAUGGAGUGAUGGAAAAGAUGGUGGCUGGGAAUGGGUCCAUGCUGGUACACAGGUGGAAGUUGCUGUUUUAUAUAGGGUUGCCAUCACAUUGGCCUUUCUGAGAAGGUGACAUAUGAGAAAAAAUCUGAAAGAUUUGAAAACUAAAGAUCUGGUCUUCUCUUCUCAGUUAAGUGGAAAGGCAAGUGUAAAACUUUUGCAUGAGAAAAGCAGGAAUACCUGUGUGCUGGAACACAGUGAAGCAUGAUAGAAGAUGAAUUUAGAGAGGGAGGCAGGAUCUAGAUUACCCUGGGCCAAGUGAGUCUAGGUCAGAGUUUGGACUUUAUUCUAAUGGUAAUGGGAAACUGGUAAAGAAUUUUAAGAGAAAAACAAUAUGAUCUGAUUUAUAUUAGUAAUAAUAAUAAAAAAAUCACCUUGUCUUCCUGUAUAACAGACAGCAGGGGGUAAGAAUGGUGGCAGGGAGCCUGCUGCAAAGAUAGUGCUGCAUUGUUCUAGGGCAGAUCUAGGUUCCGUAAGUUACAUGCGCUCACCAAUGUUAAUGUCAAGAUCUGGUAGGAUUUCUGUGGUGCCAGAUGUUAACUCUUUAGUUUCUGUAUCAAGGGCAGUCAUAGGAGGUCUAAGAGCAUUGUUCAGAGUGGCUGGCAGGCUCAGUGUAAUGGCUAAUAUACUAGCUGAUCAGAAGAGGUUCAGUAUUUUAAUUACCAGUACAGUUGUACAUGUGCCUCUUGGCUAUCUCAGCCCUGGUCUUGUGUGAAGGUUAUGGAGAUGAAGAGGAAUAGUCAUACUCAUGAUUUAUUUUGAAGAUAGAAACUGUAAAUAGGCUUGCUGAAGAAUGUUGUAAGUAGGAUCUAUGCCUUAUAAAGGUAAAUGUGAUAAGAAUUAUUGCCUAACAUUUGUUAUAAAUUCUAAAAUAUUUGGCUUCAUUUUACUGUCUUAGUAAAAGUCUAUAACAUUUGUUAUAAACUCUUCUAAAAUAUAUCGUUUCACUUUACAGUCUCAGAAAAAAAGUGUUUUCCUUUGCUGAUCUGAUUGUUUUACAGGGCUUCAGGAUUAUUCUCAUUGGAUAAUUAUGUGGGGCAGAGAUAAAUGAUACAGGGAUAAACAGCAUUGUUUCAGGACAAAGACAAAAACAGCAUUUUAACUAAGUCUUAGUUAUUGACUCAAUUUCUUCUGAUUAAACUUUUUUAAAGUGAAAUAUAGAAAGGAACUUUGUUUACUGAAGACUAACUAAUUAUUUUCUAAUUAAAAGAUGGAGUGUGAACUCCUGAAUCUAAAGAAUUCUGAAAAUGGUAGGACUAGUCUUCCUAUAUUUCAUAACUUUAAAUAAACCACAAUUUCUUUAGGAUUACAUUGCUCUUCUUUGAUUUAGUGUACAUUUUCACACUGCAAAAUACACAGUACACAGUGUAUACCAGACCUUGGCAGUGAAUUAGAGGAUAUAAAUCAAUCUGUAAGUAGAGCUGAAAAGCUCAGAGCUUCAUAAAGAAGCUAUUUUUCAAGCUGGGCACUUUUAAAGACACUUUUUUUGAGAGAGACUUUUAAACAAACUCUCCUCCUUCAAACUUUUCCCUCAUUUUAAUUUUAACACUUUAUUCAUUGAUUUUCUUGGCAAUAUUAGAUCAUGAAAUCAGGAUUCCUAGCCACAAUAAAUAAUUUCAUCUCGAAUUAGUUAUAAAAUUUCCCUUGUUUCAGAUGUUGAUAGAAUUCUAACUAGUCAGAAUCAGAUGUUAUUUACAAAGUAGAUAAAAUUUAAGAGAAGUUGCAUUACCAGCUUUAUUGGUAUAACUUAGAGGUCAGUGUCCACAUAAAUUUGAAAAUGUACAGCCUGUUUGAUGGUAUCCAAGAAAAAUUCUGAAAGCCUCUUAAUAGUUUUAUCUUGUUUUAUGUAAUAGAUAUGUACCUGAAAAUUUGCAUGUAAAUCAAACUUAAUAUUAAUCAAACAAUAGUCAGAAAGAAGAGUAAUUUUCAAAUGCAAAUGCUGAUCAGUUUUUUCUAAAGCAAAUAGAUAAUCUCUAGUUGUUCUGAGUUUGUGUAAAUUUUGGUUUGGCUUAAAGUGGAAUAUACCUCUAAUAAAUGGUAAAAAUUGCCAGGAGAUAGUUCGUGAAAGACUAUGAUAUUGUAGUGUUUGAAUAGUCAUUUAAGCAGUGGAAGAAACUAAAUAAAUCAUUUAACAUCUUAAAGAUAUAACUAACUGGGGUUUGUAACUUAAUUCAGAUUAAAAAAAUUAAUUUUAGGGCAGAUUGAGGCUAGGAAUCUACUGUCUUUAUUUUAUUUGUAUUGCUAAAAAUAUUCACUGGUGCCAUGGGAUCACAACAGAGGUUACCAUGUUAAUAUCCUGGAUUAGGGGGAGGAUAACAUCAUUGAGGUUUCCAUUAUAAAUUUUAGUUCCCUCAUAUUGACAGUGGGAAGAAGGUAGAGGAUAUAAACUGCUGGGGUUUAUUAAAUUCUCAAUUUCAAAUCUUACCUAUUCACCCAUGGUCUAAGCAAUACAUCCAGAAAUGUGCACACAGGUUAUAUUUUAUAUGAAGUGCAGUAACUAUUUACUGAGCAUAUACUCUGUGCUAGGAUGUAGAAUCAUUAUUCAUCCUCAACUAUGAAUUAAGCAAAAACUUUGUAUAAAUCAUUGUUCUACAAGGCAAUACAAUAUGUGAGGAAGUCACAUUCUCUAAAGAGUGUAUGGAUUAAUGGGGAAGGCAGAUAAGUAAACUGGAAAUUACAAAAGAGCAUAACAAGGGCUUUGAUAGAGAAGAUCCAGGGCAAUGAGAAUCUCUAAACUAGUUGUAGGUAGGGAUUGUGUUGAGGAACAUGUCAGGGUAAGCAUCCUAAAAAAAAGACAGCAAAGUUGUUAACUAAAAUAUGAUUAGGAAUUAGGUCAUUGAUGAAAGUUUGAUGAGUCAACAAGCCAUAUGAUUUUGGCAAAUCAAGGUUAUAGAGUGAAAAUGAAUAUUUCAUGUUUAGGGAAUUAUAAUAAAUUUAGUAUGAAUGCAACAUGAUAAGAGAGGAGAGAUGAAUAUCAGAAAUUGUAUAAUAAACACUGAUUUUUGUAUAAGUCAUGUGAGGCAAUAUCAUAAAGGGUCUUAAAUGUUUUUAAUGGAUUUUAUUGUGAGGGCACUGGAGAGCCAUGGGGAUUUUUUAAAGGAGCAUAAUAUACAGGUUUGCACUUUAGAAAGACUCCUCUGGCUACAGUGGAGAAAAUAAAUUGAUAGUAGAAAAUAGAAGGCUUCAAAACAAGAGACCAAAUAUAAACCUGUUGAAAAUUAUAGCACUCAUUCCCACUAGAGAUGUUAGUGGCCUGAACUAAGGUAGUAGAAGUAAAGAGAGAAGUGGAUGAGAUAGAGAGUCAUUGAAAAGAUUGGAUCAACAACAAUUAUUGAUUUGGAUGCGGUAUAAGAAGGGUUAGAAGCAAUGCAAAAUAGGAGUAGGCUUAGACCACUUGUUAACACUUUGAGCUUAACUCUGGGAUGUCUAUAUAGUGACGAUGAGGAUAAAAUUACGUAUAUAUGUCUGGAAUUUAGGAAAGGAAUCUGCAUUGGAGGUAUAAAGUUGGGAGUCAUUAGCAUUUAGUUGGUAACUGAAGCCUGGAUAUGUAAGACCUUGCCCAGGGAGAAUGUGUGGACUGAGAGAAGAGCCCCAGCACAAAACUCUGAGGAAUACCAAGAAUUAAUCCUGGUCAAGAAACAUAAAUUUUGGAGUUACCAUCGUGGCUCAGUGGAAACAAAUCUGUCUAGAAUCCAUGAAGACCUGGGUUCGAUCCCUGGCCUCGCCCAGUAGGUUAAAGAUCCAGGAUUGUCAUGAGCUGUGGCGUAGGUCAUAGACACAGCUCAGAUCUGACAUUGUUCUGGCUGUGGUGUAGGCCAGUGGCUAUGGCUCCAAUUGGACCCCUGCCCUGGGAACCUCCAUAUACUGCUGGUGUGGCCCUUAAAAG
rnacentral:lncRNA from 1 species